rnacentral:misc_RNA from 1 species
GAUGAAGAACGCAGCGAAAUGCGAUAAGUAAUGUGAAUUGCAGAAUUCAGUGAAUCAUCGAAUCUUUGAACGCACAUUGCGCCCGCCAGUAUUCUGGCGGGCAUGCCUGUUCGAGCGUCAUUUCAACCCUCAGGGCCCUUUUGGACCUGGCGUUGGGGCUCGGCCGCUACCCUGCGGCCGUCCCCGAAAGAUAGUGGCGGUCUCGCUGUAGCCUCCUCUGCGUAGUAGUUACAUCUCGCACUGGAACGCGGCGCGGCCAUGCCGUUAAACACCCCACUUCUCAAGGUUGACCUCGGAUCAGGUAGGGAUACCCGCUGAACUUAAGCAUAUCAAUAAGCGGAGGA